rnacentral:rRNA from 1 species
GCAUAACGCGAAGAACCUUACCCACCUUUGACAUGUACGGAAGUUGCCAGAGAUGGCUUCGUGCUCGAAAGAGAGCCGUAACACAGGUGCUGCAUGGCUGUCGUCAGCUCGUGUCGUGAGAUGUUGGGUUAAGUCCCGCAACGAGCGCAGCCCUUGUCAUUAGUUGCUACGAAAGGGCACUCUAAUGAGACUGCCGGUGACAAACCGGAGGAAGGGUGGGGAUGACGUCAAGUCCUCAUCGGCCCUUAUAGGGUGGGGCUACACACGUCAUACAAUGGGCCGGUAACGAAAAGGGCAGACCCAACCCGCGAGGGGGGAGCCAAUCCCAUAAAGCCGGUCGUAGUCCGGAUCGCAGUCUGCAACUCGACUGCGUGAAGUCGGAAUCGCUAGUAAUCGUGGAUCAGCAUGUCACGGUGAAUACGUUCCCGGGUCUUGUACACACCG